GAGGCGGUGUGCGAGGAGGAAGAGGCCGUGUGCGAGGAGGAAGAGGCGGUGUACAAGUAAGAUUAGGCGGUGGUGGAGGACGUUGUGGAUGAGGAGGAGGAGGCGGUGGAGGUGGAGGAGGAGGAGGAGGAGGAGGAAGAGAAGGAGGCGGU